AAGCCUCUCCUCUCUUUGUUCAAGUUUUUU
rnacentral:sRNA from 1 species